AAUCGAACUCGGAGAUAGCUGGUUCUCCUCGAAAUAGCUUUAGGGCUAGCCUCGGAAUGUAGAUACGCGGAGGUAGAGCACUGAAUAUCCUAGGGGCCUUCACCGGUUACCGAAGAUUAUCAAACUCCGAAUGCCGCAGUAUUAAAUCCGGGAGUCAGACUAUGUGAGAUAAGUUUCAUAGUCGAAAGGGAAACAGCCCAGACCAACAGCUAAGGUCCCCAAGUGUAAGUUAAGUGGAAAAGGAUGUGGAGCUGCAUAGACAACUAGGACGUUGGCUUAGAAGCAGCCACUCAUUUAAAGAGUGCGUAAUAGCUCACUAGUCGAGUGACUCUGCGCCGAAGAUAAACGGGGCUGAAACUUACCACCGAAGCUUUGGAUACCCAUAGGGUAUGGUAGAGGAGCAUCGUAUACGGGCCGAAGCGGAAAUGUGAGUUUCCGUGGACUGUAUAGGAGAGAGAAUGUUGGCAUGAGUAGCGAGAGGCAGGUGAGAAUCCUGCCCGCCGAAAAUCUGAGGUUUCCUGAGGAAGGUUCGUCCGCUCAGGGUAAGUCGGGACCUAAGCCGAGAGCGAAAGCUGUAGGCGAUGGACAACAGGUUGAGAUUCCUGUACCACCGAAAGUCGUUUGAAUGAAGUGGGGACGCAGGAGGAUAGACAGAGCACGCCGUUGGUAGAGCGUGUCCAAGCACGGAGUGUAUCGGGUAGGCAAAUCCGCUCGGUGAAAAGCAUGACGUGUGACGGGGAGGGAAAAUAGUACCGAAGCUGUCGAUUUCACACUGCCAAGAAAAGCCGCUAAUGAGACUGUAGGUGCCCGUACCGCAAACCGACACAGGUAGAUGAGGAGAGAAUCCUAAGGCGAGCGAGAGAACUAUUGUUAAGGAACUCGGCAAAAUGACCCCGUAACUUAGGGAGAAGGGGUGCCUGCGAAAGCAGGCCGCAGUGAAAAGGCCCAGGCGACUGUUUACCAAAAACACAGGUCUCUGCGAAAGCGAAAGCUGAAGUAUAGGGGCUGACGCCUGCCCGGUGCUGGAAGGUUAAGGGGAAGUGUUAUCGAAAGAGAAGCACAGAACUUAAGCCCCAGUAAACGGCGGCCGUAACUAUAACGGUCCUAAGGUAGCGAAAUUCCUUGUCGGGUAAGUUCCGACCCGCACGAAAGGCGUAACGAUCUGGGCACUGUCUCGACAAUAGACUCGGUGAAAUUGUAGUACCGGUAAAGAUGCCGGUUACCCGCAGCAGGACGGAAAGACCCCGUGGAGCUUUACUGUAGCUUGAUAUUGGAUUUCGGCAUUGCAUGUACAGGAUAGGUGGGAGACGUUGAGCUAUGCACGCCAGUGUGUAGGGAGUCGCCGUUGGGAUACCACUCUUGUAAUGUUGAGGUUCUAACCUUGUACCGUGAUCCGGUAUGGGGACAGUGUCAGGUGGGCAGUUUGACUGGGGCGGUCGCCUCCUAAAGAGUAACGGAGGCGCCCAAAGGUACCCUCAGAUUGGUUGGAAAUCAAUCGACGAGUGCAAAUGCAGAAGGGUGCUUGACUGCGAGACCAACAAGUCGAGCAGGGACGAAAGUCGGGAUUAGUGAUCCGGCGGUGCCGAAUGGAAGGGCCGUCGCUCAACGGAUAAAAGCUACCCUGGGGAUAACAGGCUGAUCUCGCCCAAGAGUUCACAUCGACGGCGAGGUUUGGCACCUCGAUGUCGGCUCAUCGCAUCCUGGAGCUGAAUUCGGUUCCAAGGGUUGGGCUGUUCGCCCAUUAAAGCGGUACGCGAGCUGGGUUCAGAACGUCGUGAGACAGUUCGGUCCCUAUCUGUCGUGGGCGCAGGAAAUUUGAGAGGCACUGACACUAGUACGAGAGGACCGUGUUGGACCGACCCCUGGUUUAUCGGUUGUUCCGCCAGGAGCAUAGCCGAGUAGCUAAGUCGGGAUUGGAUAAGUGCUGAAAGCAUCUAAGUACGAAGCCAGCCCCAAGAUAAGAUUUCCCUUAAGGGUCGUCAGAGACGAUGACGUAGAUAGGUUGCAGAUGUAAAGGCAGUAAUGUCAAAGUCGAGCAAUACUAAUCACCCGUGACUUUCGGU
rnacentral:rRNA from 1 species